AUGCCGCAUACACGUUAAGACCAAAGAGUAAAUUAAAACGUCGACGUGUGAAAGAGACCAAAACAUCUCUAUGGUAAGCAUUGUGACGCGAUGAUGUACGAGAGAUGGUCAGACAGACGGACAUGGCGAAAUUAUAAGGGUUAAUAAUUCUAACACUACAAAAAAGUAAUGAAAAUAAUUAUAUUCCGAAUUUAAUGCCACCCAUAAAAAAAAUCAGAUUUGUAAUUCCCACUCUUUGGAUGCAUGUGGGGUCCAUCAGGUUGCCGUUAAUUAAUUUUCAAUAUGACAGCGGAACUGUCACGUUUCCUGUCAAUAUAAAUAUAAACCAUGUUAUAUUUGUAAAAAUAUGGUGUUUCGGACCAAGACUUAUUACCGUAUUUUUAUAGCUUCCAACUUUAACGCUGGCAAAUGUGUAUAAUAUACAUAUUUUAGUAUAAACAAGUACGGCCGGGAGCUAAUACAAGUCUCGAGAAAUAUUGGGAGCGUUGAAUGCGAAGGCUUACAUAACAGCAAAGCCCAAAACUACAGAGCAACGGGAAAAAUAAAUGAAACAACGUCAUCACGAAAUCGGAUGGCAGUCCGAAUUUAGCACGCUGCGUAGAUCACCUCCCGCAAAAUACAGCAAAAAAUCUAGAAGUAAUCAUGUAUUUAACAUCUAUGUGACGGUUAAUAUUUCAAUAAUACCAAUCCAAUACCAAUUUCCCAAAUAAUUAAAAAGUUUAUGUACUUC